GGCGAUCAGAUACCGCCCUAGUUCUAACCGUAAACGAUGACAACCAGCGAUUAAUCGGCGUUAAUAUAUGACCCGAUUAGCAGCUUCCGGGAAACCAAAGUUUUUCGUUUCCGGGGGAAGUAUGGUUGCAAAGCUGAAACUUAAAGGAAUUGACGGAAGGGCACCACCAGGAGUGGAGCCUGCGGCUUAAUUUGACUCAACACGGGAAAACUCACCCGGCCCGGACACCGUAAGGAUUGACAGACUGAGAGCUCUUUCUUAAUUCGGUGGGUGGUGGUGCAUGGCCGUUCUUAGUUGGUGGAGCGAUUUGUCUGGUUAAUUCCGAUAACGAACGAGACUCUGGCCUAUUAAAUAGACGGUAUAUUUAAAAGUAUAUCGCACUUCUUAGAGGGACAAGCGGCGUCUAGCCGCAUGAAAUAGAGCAAUAACAGGUCUGUGAUGCCCUUAGAUGUCCGGGGCUGCACGCGCGCUACACUGAAAGAAUCAGUGGGCGUGAUACCUAGUUCGGAAGGACCGGGUAACCCAAGUAAAUUCUUUCGUGCUUGGGAUAGGGAAUUGCAAUUAUUUCCCUUAAACGAGGAAUUCCCAGUAAAUGCGGGUCAUAAGCUCGCGUUGAUUACGUCCCUGCCCUUUGUA
rnacentral:rRNA from 1 species